UUGACCUCGGCAUCAGGUAGGAAUACCCGCUGAACUUAAGCAUAUCAAUAAGCGGAGGA
rnacentral:rRNA from 1 species